rnacentral:rRNA from 1 species
UACGUAGGGUGCAAGCGUUAAUCGGAAUUACUGGGCGUAAAGCGUGCGCAGGCGGUUUUGUAAGACCGAGGUGAAAUCCCCGGGCUCAACCUGGGAACUGCCUUUGUGACUGCAAGGCUUGAGUGCGGCAGAGGGGGAUGGAAUUCCGCGUGUAGCAGUGAAAUGCGUAGAUAUGCGGAGGAACACCGAUGGCGAAGGCAAUCCCCUGGGCCUGCACUGACGCUCAUGCACGAAAGCGUGGGGAGCAAACAGG